AGUUUAACUCUUGUUCAUGGGGCAUGCAACUGCUAAUGACUUACAGGUAAAGAUUACAGAAUAUCUCGUCAGUAAAAAAAUUGACAAAUCCAAGAUAUUACAGACAUCUAUGCAUGGGCUCAAUGUUAACUGCAUAUUUCACGAUUUAUUGCAAGCACAUAUUUUUUGAGGCUGGUGAGGAUGCAUCAACUUUAAUCACUGUUGGUUCUUGUGGGCUACAUGGUGUUCAUAUUGCAUUCACGACUGGUGAACAGGCAUCUGAGUGGAAUGUAGAAGAGGUCUUCUCAUCUUUGUAUUGGUUAUUUGUAGACUCACCAGCAAGGAAAGAAGAUUCAACUGAAAUAACAAUAAGCAGCAGAUUUCCUCUGAAGUUUUGUAGGCACAGAUGACUGGAGAACGUACCCAUUGUAAUAUGAGCUCAGGAAAUUUGGGACAAAGUCAUUCUGUAUGUUCAAAAAUUGCAAACUGACAAGAAAUGCAGUAACCCAACAUCAAAAUCAUUCAAGAUUAUACGAGAUGCUGUCGAGGAUGCACUCAUGACAGUAAAGAUGGCAGCUUUUAAGUCAAUGGCAAAGCAGCUUCAACCCUUCCUGGCAAUUUUUCAAAGUGACAACCCACUUCUACCUUUCAUGGCUAGCACUCUACAAGAGAUGAUUGUAGGACUGAUGAAGAGAUAUGUUAAGGCUGGUGUGCUUCAGAAGGCUACCUCAGCAGUAAAGCUUCUAAAGUUAGACCUCUCAGAUGUGAAAAAUUUCCUUGAGAUUAAGAAGGUGGAUAUUGGACUUGUUGCUGUGGACAAGCUCAAGAAACUACAGGCAGACAAAAAAGUCAGUGAUCGCUAGAUUUACCAGUUCAAGAGUGAGUUUCAGUCCUUCUUAACUACUAUUGUUGGCAAGCUGUUU